AACCGAUGAUGACUCCUUUUACAUUUUUCUGACACCUCGUAUGAACACUGCUCAGCAGUGCCUGAUUAUACAUUACACUCUGAGGUUC